UACGAAGGGGGCUAGCGUUGUUCGGAAUUACUGGGCGUAAAGCGUGCGCAGGCGGUUUUCCCAAGUCAGUGGUGAAAGCCCGGAGCUCAACUCCGGAACUGCCUUGAAACUGUGAGACUCGAGUACGAGAGAGGUGGAGUGGAAUUCCCAACGUUGUAGAGGUGAAAUUCGUAGAUUAUUGGGGAAGAACACCGGUGGCGAAGGCGGCUCACUGGCUCGGUAACUGACGGCUCAUGCACGACAGCGUGGGGAUCAAACAGG
rnacentral:rRNA from 1 species